rnacentral:rRNA from 1 species
GCGGCCCUCUGGCUCGCUCGUCGGGUGGAUGCUCCCGCGUGGGCACUUCACAUCCCUCUGUGUGAUCCCCUGUGGUCACGUUAAUAGGAGCGAGAGGUCAUCCUCCGCCCCGUGCCUCGGACGGUCGCGUCGGGUCCGAGCGUCGCACGUACGCCCCACCGAACGUAUCUAAACACAUGGGGCAGGCCCACGGCCACACGUACCGCACAACUAUCGUGAUAUGAACAGUUUUUACAACUGGUAGCGUUGGAUCCCUCGGCAUGGCUAUCGAUGAAGAGCGCGGCCAGCUGCGAAAUGUGAUGUGAAUUGCAACUCAAAGCGGUUAUCGUGAAUCAUUGACUACUUGAACGCAUUGCACCGCCCUUUUGGGAGUGGUACGCCCGAUUGAGUGUCAUAAAUCCAUCAGGCUCCUGGGUCUCUGUCGUUCGCUCGGCGACCGUCGUCCGCGCCGCAAGUCGUCUCUCCGGAGGCGAUGGAGGCGUGACGGCGGGAGGCUCCGGGAUCCCUGGCCUCGAGGCUGCACGGCCGUCCCGGUCGCGUGCCUUCAGAUGCAUUAGCGGUCGUCCGUCCACACAAGUUCGACUCCACGUGAUGAUAUCGCGUUCGUGGAGGAGUGCACGCGCACGCUUGUCGGCUCGGACGCCGCUGCGAACCCGCCCUCGGGCAACCACCCGGACUCGUCCGGGACUUUAUGACGUUUGGCCUCAGUCGGGUGGGAUUACCCGCUUGAUUUAAGCAUAUUAUUCAGCGGAGGAAAAGAAACUAACAAGGAUUCCCCCAGUAACGGCGAGUGAAGAGGGAAGAGCUCAAAGUGUGAAUCUGGCGGGGCGUCGCUCCGACCCGAGUUGUGCACUAGAGACGUGUCGUCCGCGCUUGAGACCCGGGGUACUUAUGUCGCCUGGAAUGGCGCAUCGCAGAGGGUGAUAUUCCCGUACGUGGCCCCGGUUGACACUCGCGCCUGUGAGGCACGCUCGUUGAGUCGCGUAGUUUCGUAUCGCUGCGCAAAUCGGGUGGUAGAUACCAUCUAAAGCUAAAUAUACUGCCAUGUCCGAUAGCUCACAAGUACCGCGAGGGAAAGGUGAAAAGCACUUUGGAAAGAGAGUGAAACAGAUGUGAAAGCGCUAUCAGGGAAAGGUUGGCUAGCACUGUCGUCUGCCUCCGACGCUUCACGGCUCGGUGCAGACGCGUCAGGACCCAUUGGGGCCGAGAGACACGGCGGUCGGGGAUCGUCCCUUCGGGGUGUUGCAACCCGGCCGCAC